rnacentral:lncRNA from 1 species
AUACAUCAAUAUACAGUGCAAUCAUAUUUUUUGACAACUCCUUUUAUCAAACAAAAAUGUCUUGCUGUGGAGGAAAGUGCGGAUGCGGUUCUGACUGCAAGUGCGGCAGCGGCUGCAAUGGGUAAAUUUACCUUUUAAUUAUGUUUUUCGUAAAUUUUUAAGUAGGUUCGAGUCUCGUUGGAGGCAUAUAUCGGUGAUUAAGCCGCCCUCAAAACGUAGUCACUUGCAUUCCAGAAAUGAACGAGUCACUGUCCUGAUAUUUAAUUAAUUUUAUUUUACCUGUUUUAAUUCCUUAAUUUCAGAUGCGGCAUGUACCCUAACAUGGAGAACACCGCAGCUGCAACACCCUUGAUCGACGGUGUUGCACCAACGAUGAUGUAUGUAUAAAUUAUCUAAUUAAUUGGAUAUUUGUUAUUACAGAGAAAUUUAAUAUUUACGCGAAGAUAUAAACGUAAAUUUUUUAUGUGAAUGACGGGGCAUGUGGUAUAACAGGUACGCUGAGGGCUCCGAGAUGAGCUUUGGAGCUGAAGGAGGGCAUGCGUGCAAGUGCGGAUCAAACUGCACCUGUAACCCGUGCAAGUGUUGAUGAUUAAAUGGAGGAAUCGAUGCCCUAAUAAAGCAGCUUGUUUGUGACUUUAAGUGUGUCUUUCUGUGUGAAAGCAUAUGUUAUUAUAUGGUAUUAUAAUAAGGGAG